rnacentral:rRNA from 1 species
GGCUUAACACAUGCAAGUCGAGGGGUAACAUUGAUUGCUUGCAAUCAGAUGACGACCGGCGCACGGGUGCGUAACGCGUAUAGAACCUACCUUUUACAGAGGGAUAGCCCAGAGAAAUUUGGAUUAAUACCUCAUAGUAUUGUAUAAUGGCAUCGUUAUACAAUUAAAGAUUUAUCGGUAAGAGAUGGCUAUGCGUCCUAUUAGUUAGUAGGUAAGGUAACGGCUUACCUAGGCAUCGAUAGGUAGGGGUCCUGAGAGGGAGAUCCCCCACACUGGUACUGAGACACGGACCAGACUCCUACGGGAGGCAGCAGUGAGGAAUAUUGGGCAAUGGAGGCAACUCUGACCCAGCCAUGCCGCGUGCAGGAAGACGGCCCUAUGGGUUGUAAACUGCUUUUAUACGGGAAGAAACCCAUCCUCGUGAGGAUGGCUGACGGUACCGUAAGAAUAAGCACCGGCUAACUCCGUGCCAGCAGCCGCGGUAAUACGGAGGGUGCAAGCGUUAUCCGGAAUCAUUGGGUUUAAAGGGUCCGUAGGCGGUUAAUUAAGUCAGGGGUGAAAUCCCACAGCUCAACUGUGGCACUGCCUUUGAUACUGGUUAACUUGAGUUACAGUGAAGUAGAUAGAAUAUGUAGUGUAGCGGUGAAAUGCAUAGAUAUUACAUAGAAUACCGAUUGCGAAGGCAGUCUACUAACUGUAUACUGACGCUAAUGGACGAAAGCGUGGGGAGCGAACAGGAUUAGAUACCCUGGUAGUCCACGCCGUAAACGAUGGAUACUAGCUGUUGGGUGUAAACUCAGUGGCCAAGCGAAAGUGAUAAGUAUCCCACCUGGGGAGUAC